AACGAAACAAUUCAUGAAAUCUUUAAAUUAAAAAGCACUCUUUUUAUUGCUUAAUUAUUAUAGUGUUGACCAUUUUAUUUCAGAAACAAAUUGACUUUUUGUUAUUGGAUGAAGAAAAAGUGUUACUCGGGCGAAAAAAAACAUAUAUAUUCUUGGGCAAUGGGAAGAUUUCCCUAUCAUGAUCUGUAGCUGAAUAAUCUCCAAAUAUUUGCAACUUCCGGGCAGUGGUUUACAAUGUACUGGACACAUUACAGACGAGGACCAACUUGAAGGAUAUGUAUCUCAUAACCUCCAAUCAAGCUUGUUUCUGAUAUGAGUGUUAAAACUGUGGUUAAAUCUGGAUAAGACAGUCAAUUGUCUAAUGCGUGCCAACUUUGACUUUAGCGUUUUCUCCACUGUGAAUAAACCUUGUCCUCUUUGCUUCAAUUUUGAUUUUUUUCCCCAGGCAUGAAAAUUUACUUCAUUUCAAUGAAAGCAUAUUCUCAGUUAAAUAAUUUGAAAUGUGCACUGGAUGAUGAACAGAGGUUCUGUAUCUAUUUAUCCUUGUGGUAUUGGUGGACAAGAGGGUACGAAAACAAGGAUUAAAUGGGCCUUAAUAGACUUCAUCCUAAUGGCUGUGAUUAUGUUGGGGCUUCAUAGCUAUUGUUUUGCAUAGCUGCAAAUGCACUGAGAGUCCCGCAGUGAACUGACUGAUCAUCAAUAUCCCAAUAGAACACUGAAGUCAAGCAUCACUGGCUGCAGUCAGUGUGCGGGUGAGUAACCUCUUUGAUCAGCAUGCAAAGGGACCGAGAGUGUGCUGUAUCGGUCCUCGUUAAACUGUUUUAAGCUACGUGGUUGACUUUGUAUGUCAUCAGGCUACCGAAACAGAGGUCAUCCCCUCUCCAGAGGAUGAAAAAUGGUGAUGGCAUGUCUUCGGAUCAUCCUCUGAGAUGUUUCCCAGAUUGUCACUAAUAGCCCAUAGUUCAGAUCUAGUGGGACGUAAACCAACAACAACUGAUACUCAGAUGUUCUGUAUUUUAAAAAAUUUAAUUUAGAACUACCCAUGUAUAAUCAUUUGUGUAGAUCGGCUCUUCUUUGUCGCUU